GGGUUGUGAGGUUAAGCGACUAAGCGUACACGGUGGAUGCCCUGGCAGUCAGAGGCGAUGAAGGACGUGCUAAUCUGCGAUAAGCGUCGGUAAGGUGAUAUGAACCGUUAUAACCGGCGAUUUCCGAAUGGGGAAACCCAGUGUGUUUCGACACACUAUCAUUAACUGAAUCCAUAGGGUUAAUGAGGCGAACCGGGGGAACUGAAACAUCUAAGUACCCCGAGGAAAAGAAAUCAACCGAGAUUCCCCCAGUAGCGGCGAGCGAACGGGGAGCAGCCCAGAGCCUGAAUCAGUGUGUGUGUUAGUGGAAGCGUCUGGAAAGGCGCGCGAUACAGGGUGACAGCCCCCGUACACAAAAAAAUGCACAUGCUGUGAGCUCGAUGAGUAGGGCGGGACACGUGGUAUCCUGUCUGAAUAUGGGGGGACCAUCCUCCAAGGCUAAAUACUCCUGACUGACCGAUAGUGAACCAGUACCGUGAGGGAAAGGCGAAAAGAACCCCGGCGAGGGGAGUGAAAAAGAACCUGAAACCGUGUACGUACAAGCAGUGGGAGCCUCUUUAUGGGGUGACUGCGUACCUUUUGUAUAAUGGGUCAGCGACUUAUAUUCUGUAGCAAGGUUAACCGAAUAGGGGAGCCGAAGGGAAACCGAGUCUUAACUGGGCGUUAAGUUGCAGGGUAUAGACCCGAAACCCGGUGAUCUAGCCAUGGGCAGGUUGAAGGUUGGGUAACACUAACUGGAGGACCGAACCGACUAAUGUUGAAAAAUUAGCGGAUGACUUGUGGCUGGGGGUGAAAGGCCAAUCAAACCGGGAGAUAGCUGGUUCUCCCCGAAAGCUAUUUAGGUAGCGCCUCGUGAAUUCAUCUCCGGGGUAGAGCACUGUUUCGGCAAGGGGGUCAUCCCGACUUACCAACCCGAUGCAAACUGCGAAUACCGGAGAAUGUUAUCACGGGAGACACACGGCGGGUGCUAACGUCCGUCGUGAAGAGGGAAACAACCCAGACCGCCAGCUAAGGUCCCAAAGUCAUGGUUAAGUGGGAAACGAUGUGGGAAGGCCCAGACAGCCAGGAUGUUGGCUUAGAAGCAGCCAUCAUUUAAAAGAAAGCGUAAUAGCUCACUGGUCGAGUCGGCCUGCGCGGAAGAUGUAACGGGGCUAAACCAUGCACCGAAGCUGCGGCAGCGACGCUUAUGCGUUGUUGGGUAGGGGAGCGUUCUGUAAGCCUGUGAAGGUGUGCUGUGAGGCAUGCUGGAGGUAUCAGAAGUGCGAAUGCUGACAUAAGUAACGAUAAAGCGGGUGAAAAGCCCGCUCGCCGGAAGACCAAGGGUUCCUGUCCAACGUUAAUCGGGGCAGGGUGAGUCGACCCCUAAGGCGAGGCCGAAAGGCGUAGUCGAUGGGAAACAGGUUAAUAUUCCUGUACUUGGUGUUACUGCGAAGGGGGACGGAGAAGGCUAUGUUGGCCGGGCGACGGUUGUCCCGGUUUAAGCGUGUAGGCUGGUUUUCCAGGCAAAUCCGGAAAAUCAAGGCUGAGGCGUGAUGACGAGGCACUACGGUGCUGAAGCAACAAAUGCCCUGCUUCCAGGAAAAGCCUCUAAGCAUCAGGUAACAUCAAAUCGUACCCCAAACCGACACAGGUGGUCAGGUAGAGAAUACCAAGGCGCUUGAGAGAACUCGGGUGAAGGAACUAGGCAAAAAUGGUGCCGUAACUUCGGGAGAAGGCACGCUGAUAUGUAGGUGAAGUCCCUCGCGGAUGGAGCUGAAAUCAGUCGAAGAUACCAGCUGGCUGCAACUGUUUAUUAAAAAAACACAGCACUGUGCAAACACGAAAGUGGACGUAUACGGUGUGACGCCUGCCCGGUGCCGGAAGGUUAAUUGAUGGGGUUAGCGGUAACGCGAAGCUCUUGAUCGAAGCCCCGGUAAACGGCGGCCGUAACUAUAACGGUCCUAAGGUAGCGAAAUUCCUUGUCGGGUAAGUUCCGACCUGCACGAAUGGCGUAAUGAUGGCCAGGCUGUCUCCACCCGAGACUCAGUGAAAUUGAACUCGCUGUGAAGAUGCAGUGUACCCGCGGCAAGACGGAAAGACCCCGUGAACCUUUACUAUAGCUUGACACUGAACAUUGAGCCUUGAUGUGUAGGAUAGGUGGGAGGCUUUUGAAGUGUGGACGCCAGUCUGCAUGGAGCCGACCUGAAAUACCACCCUUUAAUGUUUGAUGUUCUAACGUUGACCCGUAAUCCGGGUUGCGGACAGUGUCUGGUGGGUAGUUUGACUGGGGCGGUCUCCUCCUAAAAGAGUAACGGAGGAGCACGAAGGUUGGCUAAUCUCGGUCGGACAUCAGGAGGUUAGUGCAAUGGCAUAAGCCAGCUUGACUGCGAGCGUGACGGCGCGAGCAGGUGCGAAAGCAGGUCAUAGUGAUCCGGUGGUUCUGAAUGGAAGGGCCAUCGCUCAACGGAUAAAAAGGUACUCCGGGGAUAACAGGCUGAUACCGCCCAAGAGUUCAUAUCGACGGCGGUGUUUGGCACCUCGAUGUCGGCUCAUCACAUCCUGGGGCUGAAGUAGGUCCCAAGGGUAUGGCUGUUCGCCAUUUAAAGUGGUACGCGAGCUGGGUUUAGAACGUCGUGAGACAGUUCGGUCCCCUAUCUCGCCGUGGGCGCUGGAGAACUGAGGGGGCUGCUCCUAGUACGAGAGGACCGGAGUGGACGCAUCACUGGUGUUCGGGUUGUCAUGCCAAUGGCACUGCCCGGUAGCUAAAUGCGGAAGAGAUAAGUGCUGAAAGCAUCUAAGCACGAAACUUGCCCCGAGAUGAGUUCUCCCUGACUCCUUGAGAGUCCUGAAGGAACGUUGAAGACGACGACGUUGAUAGGCCGGGUGUGUAAGCGCAGCGAUGCGUUGAGCUAACCGGUACUAAUGAACCGUGAGGCUUAACCUUACAACGCCGAAG
rnacentral:rRNA from 1 species